rnacentral:rRNA from 1 species
AUACGUAGGGAGCAAGCGUUAAUCGGAAUUACUGGGCGUAAAGCGGGCGCAGGCGGUUUUGGAAUGCAGUGGGGGAAUCCCCGGGGGCAACCUGGGAACUGCCCUUGUGACUGGAAGGCAGGAGUGCAGCAGAGGGGGAGAGAAUUCCGCGCGUAGCAAUGAAAAGCGUAGAUACGCGGAGGUACCCCGAUGGCGAAGGCAAUCCCCUGGGCCUGCACUGACGCUCAUGCGCGAAAGCGUGGGGAGCCAACAGGAGUAGAAUCCCUGGUAGACCACGCCCUAAACGGUGUCAACUGUUUGUUGGGGAUUUAUUUUCUCAGUAACGAAGCUAACGCGUAAAGUUGACCGCCUGGGGAGUACGUCCGCGAGGUUAAAACUCAAAUGAAUUGUCGGGG